GGGUGACGGUUUCCCUUCGGGGAUGAAAAGGGAACGCGGUGGGGGCUUGAUCUUUGGAUCGUGCCUGAUGCCGCGGCUGCCCCCGCAACUGUGAGCGGCGAGCCCUUUCGCCACGCGUGUCACUGGAUGGCCUCAUCCGGGAAGACGGCGGCAGGGCAUGGACCCGCGAGCCAGGAGACCUGCCGUCAGCCG
rnacentral:ncRNA from 1 species